rnacentral:rRNA from 1 species
UACGUAGGGAGCAAGCGUUGUCCGGAAUCAUUGGGCGUAAAGCGCGCGUAGGUGGCUUCGUAAGUCCGUUGUGAAAGUCAAAGGCUCAACCUUUGAAAGCCGAUGGAUACUGUGAAGCUAGAGUACGGAAGAGGCGAGUGGAAUUCCUGGUGUAGGGGUGGAAUGCGCAGAUAUCAGGAGGAACACCAAUAGCGAAGGCAGCUCGCUGGGACGUUACUGACACUGAGGCGCGAAAGCGUGGGGAGCGAACAGG